CUUCAGCAAGGGCGCCGCCAUCUUGGGAAAGACCCACAAUGCACUCGGGGUUGGAAUGAAAAUGUCAUUAAAAACGUCAUCAUGGUAGACCAGAAAAGCUACAUCCCUGAUUGGCAGAUGAGUGGCAACCCUGAUUAGAAGCACUUGAUGCUCAUCGGUUGUUCUUUACAAAUGCUGUUUUGAAUUAAAGAAAAGUGUACCUACACACUGAAGAAGGCUGUAAAGCCGAAACAUCUGUGUAUGCUAUCCCUGAUGCAGUGAUUUUCAUUUUCCGUAUUGCAACGGAAAAUCUAAAAAAUGUCUUAUUGGACAAGAGAA